AUUGAACGCUGGCGGCAGGCCUAACACAUGCAAGUCGAACGAGUGGCGGACGGGUGAGUAACGUCUGGGAAACUGCCUGAUGGAGGGGGAUCAAUACUGGAAACGGUCGCUAAUAACCCCUACCAUCAGCUGUGCCCAGAUGGGAUUAGCGAGUUGGUGGGGUAACGGCUCACCAAGGCGACGAGGCCUAGCGGGUCCGAGAGGAUGACCGGCAACACGGGAACUGAGACACGGUCCAGACUCCUACGGGAGGCAGCAGUGGGGAAUAUUGCACAAGGGGCGCAAGCCGGAUGCAGCCAUGCGGCGGGUAUGAAGAAGGCCUUCGGGUUGUAAAGUACUUUCAGCGGGGAGGCGUUACCCGCAGAAGAAGCACCGGCUAACUCCGUGCCAGCCGCCGCGGUAAUAC
rnacentral:rRNA from 1 species